AUGGAAGUGAUGAUUAUUUCCCCAGAUGAUCGACGCUGAUAUUACUGUGCGAUUUUUUCUCGUUAGAGAAACCAAGCCAAUUAAUCUGAUCCAU